GGUAUAAAAGAGCUGCAGUAGAAUGAUCCAAUCAAUACCAUACCAGCGCUCCAGCCCAAUUUUUUAAACCCGCUCUAUUAACAUGUACAAGAAUCUCGAAAGUGGUGACAGGGAGACUUUUGGAUUAGAAACAGGAUCUCGGCCGGCCAUCAUCAGCAGCCAACGUCAGGUGCUUUACCGUGGGACAUUCCGCCAGGAAGUUAAAUCGAUUCCGCAGAGACUGGUCUCAAUCUGGAACAAAUACAGAUCAAUUUGAGUGUUAAAAUAACGGAACAAUUAUCAACCAGCAUCUCUCCAAAAUAAUGUUUUAACACGAUCCUCUCGGCAAAGUUCUCAUUUCUGUUGGUGUCACAUAAUUAACAGCUCUUUGACGGUUUACAUUUCUCGAUCCGUAAAAAUUGCUGAUCGUUAGUUUAUGUAAUAAUGAACGUCAAAUGCUGGCCCAUCUUCGCUUCGAAAGAUCUACGAAAAUUCUAAAAAUGUCUUGCUCGUCCAGUUGAGAGCUUUUGUUUUGUUUCUAUCGAACUUUUUCUUCACGCUCUGUAAAAUAAAAAUACUUGCAAUCAUAAUCUUCUACAUGUCUACGUAUUGUCGGGAUUAAAUAUAAGCUUAAGGAAAUUGCAAUCGCGUUUGUCUUGACCCAAACCAAGACGAGUA